rnacentral:rRNA from 1 species
UACGUAGGGUGCAAGCGUUGUCCGGAAUUAUUGGGCGUAAAGAGCUUGUAGGCGGUUUGUCGCGUCUGCUGUGAAAUUUCGGGGCUCAACCCCGAACUUGCAGUGGGUACGGGCAGACUAGAGUGUGGUAGGGGAGACUGGAAUUCCUGGUGUAGCGGUGGAAUGCGCAGAUAUCAGGAGGAACACCAAUGGCGAAGGCAGAUCUCUGGGCCGUAACUGACGCUGAGGAGCGAAAGCAUGGGGAGCGAACAGG